rnacentral:rRNA from 1 species
CUACGGGAGGCUGCAGUGAGGAAUUUUGCGCAAUGGGGGAAACCCUGACGCAGCAACGCCGCGUGGAGGAUGACGCAUUUCGGUGUGUAAACUCCUUUUAUCAGAGAAGAAAAUGACGGUAUCUGAUGAAUAAGCUCCGGCUAACUCCGUGCCAGCAGCCGCGGUAAUACGGAGGGAGCAAGCGUUAUUCGGAAUCACUGGGCGUAAAGGACGCGUAGGCGGGUUUUUAAGUCAGGUGUGAAAUCCUAUGGCUCAACCAUAGAACUGCACUUGAAACUGGGGACCUAGAGUAUGGAAGGGGCAGGUGGAAUUAGUGGUGUAGGGGUAAAAUCCGUAGAUAUCACUAGGAAUACCGAAAGCGAAGGCGACCUGCUGGGACAUUACUGACGCUGAGGCGUGAAAGCGUGGGGAGCAAACGGGAUUAGAUACCCGAGUAGUC